rnacentral:rRNA from 1 species
UACGUAGGGGGCAAGCGUUGUCCGGAAUCAUUGGGCGUAAAGAGCGUGUAGGCGGCCUUAUAAGUCGGCUGUGAAAGUCAAGGGCUCAACCCUUGAAUGCCGGCCGAUACUGUGAGGCUAGAGUCCGGAAGAGGCGAGUGGAAUUCCUGGUGUAGCGGUGAAAUGCGCAGAUAUCAGGAGGAACACCGAUGGCGAAGGCAGCUCGCUGGGACGGUACUGACGCUGAGACGCGAAAGCGGGGGGAGCGAACAGG